rnacentral:lncRNA from 1 species
GGGAGAGCGAGCGAGCGCCGGGAGGAGGCGGCCAAAGUCAGUAAAAAGGAGCUCAACUCCAACCACGACGGGGCCGACGAGACCUCAGAAAAAGAACAGCAAGAAGCGAUUGAACACAUUGAUGAAGUACAAAAUGAAAUAGACAGACUUAAUGAACAAGCCAGUGAGGAGAUUUUGAAAGUAGAACAGAAAUAUAACAAACUCCGCCAACCAUUUUUUCAGAAGAGGUCAGAAUUGAUCGCCAAAAUCCCAAAUUUUUGGGUAACAACAUUUGUCAACCAUCCACAAGUGUCUGCACUGCUUGGGGAGGAAGAUGAAGAGGCACUGCAUUAUUUGACCAGAGUUGAAGUGACAGAAUUUGAAGAUAUUAAAUCAGGUUACAGA